UAAGAGGUCCAGCCUGCCCAGUGACAAAGUUUAACGGCCGCGGUACCCUAACCGUGCGAAGGUAGCAUAAUCACUUGUUCUUUAAAUGAGGACUCGUAUCAACGGCACUACGAGGGCUAUACUGUCUCCUUUUUCCAAUCAGUGAAACUGAUCUCCCCGUGAAGAAGCGGGGAUGAAAAUAUAAGACGAGAAGACCCCAUGGAGCUUUAAACUCACCAUGCACCUCUAUGCCCUUAUAUCACUAAACAUAAGACACCUGCAUGAUAGUUUUAGGUUGGGGGGACCACGGAGUAUAAUAUAACCUCCACAACAAAUGGGCUAACACCCUUAUCCACGAGACACAACUCUAAGAAUUAUUAAACUAAUGCUUAUGACCCGAUAAUCGAUCAAUGAACCAAGUUACCCUGGGGAUAACAGCGCAAUCUACUUCAAGAGCCCAUAUCGACAAGUAGGUUUACGACCUCGAUGUUGGAUCAGGGUAUCCCAGUGGUGCAGCCGCUACUAAUGGUUCGUUUGUUCAACGA
rnacentral:rRNA from 1 species